rnacentral:tRNA from 1 species
GGCCGAGUGGCGGAACUGGCAGACGCGCCGGAUUCAAAAUCCGGUUCCCGCAAGGGAGUAUCGGUUCAAGUCCGAUCUCGGCUA